AGAGUUUGAUCCUGGCUCAGGAUGAACGCUAGCGGCAGGCCUAAUACAUGCAAGUCGAACGGGCUGGAGUAGCAAUACUCCAGUUAGUGGCGCACGGGUGCGUAACGCGUAUGCAACCUACCUUUUAUUGGGGGAUAGCCCGAAGAAAUUCGGAUUAAUACCGCAUAAUAUCAUUUGAGGGCAUCUGAAGAUGAUUAAAGCUACGGCGAUAAAAGAUGGGCAUGCGUGACAUUAGCUAGUUGGUGGUGGUAACGGCACACCAAGGCGACGAUGUCUAGGGGUUCUGAGAGGAUGAUCCCCCACACUGGUACUGAGAUACGGACCAGACUCCUACGGGAGGCAGCAGUAGGGAAUAUUGGGCAAUGGCGGAAACGCUGACCCAGCCAUGCCGCGUGCAGGAUGAAGGCCUUCUGGGUUGUAAACUGCUUUUACCAGGGAAGAAAAUACCUUUGCGAAGGGAACUGACGGUACCUGGUGAAUAAGCACCGGCUAACUCCGUGCCAGCAGCCGCGGUAAUACGGAGGGUGCAAGCGUUGUCCGGAUUUAUUGGGUUUAAAGGGUGCGUAGGCGGCUUGAUAAGUCCGUGGUGAAAGCCAACAGCUCAACUGUUGAACUGCCAUGGAUACUGUCAGGCUUGAGUACAGACGAGGUAGGCGGAAUGGAUCGUGUAGCGGUGAAAUGCAUAGAUACGAUCCAGAACUCCGAUUGCGAAGGCAGCUUACUAGGCUGUAACUGACGCUGAGGCACGAAAGCGUGGGGAGCGAACAGGAUUAGAUACCCCAGUAGUCC
rnacentral:rRNA from 1 species